GUAUUUUUAAUUUUGGUUUUUAUUUUUUGUUGAAAACUGGACAUUUAAGCUAAUAUAUUGUAGUAACUGUGGAUUCUGAUUCCCCCCCGAGGCUGUUAUUGUUUCAUUUUUAGUAAAUAGCCUAUACUCAAUUUGUAGAAACUAUCUUCUCCAUGAUAUGUAACCCAUGAUGUCUCUGCUCAGUUUAACUUAUAUUUUGUUUUUUUGUAAAAUAAAAACCUUCGAAGAGAUUGCCCUUAGGUCUACAUAGCAUAGAAGUCAGGCAAUGCCUGGUUAGAGGUUCUGCUCAAACAUCUUGACAUUUGCCUAUAGGUCUGGGGGCGAGUGGGGAAGCCUAUUCAAAAUUCAGUCUGUUUUCAAGUCUAUCCCAACUUCUAAUACUUCCCAGUACAGAGCUUGAAUCCUUGGGUCUCCCCUGUGUGUGCACGUGCCCUCCCAUUCUCCCAGGGAUGUGUGGAACCUCUUUGGUUCUUUUCCAGGAGUUUCUUGGUAAAUUCCUCUAGAGUCUGCCACCCACCCCAAGCUUUCUCCUUUCACUUCCUAUCAAGUUCGCUAUUUUCACAAACAAUGCCACUGAACAAGAGUUUUUCAGCUUUCCCUCCGAGCAAGCCCAACAAUGAAGCUGCUAGCUUUUAAAGACACCUUCACCCUGGUAACACUCUAAGCUAGGGAUGAGGGAGAAAAUGGAAACAGCUCCAGGCGAAAUACUUAGUGUUCUUUCUGGAAGUCCAGCCAUCUUUCCAUAAACAGUUGCAUCUCAAUUUUUUUUUUUUAACUUACUUGCCUUGAGUCAACUUUCAGAGCCCUGAAGUGGUUAUCUUGACAAUUUCACCCUGUUUUACAGUUGCCCGACACUUUGCCAGAAAUACUCAGACACCCCUAAACCUCUGGGAACCCAGACUCCAACCUCCUCAUUUCAGCCCCAGUGGAUAAACCCGGCUUCUUAAGGUAGACCUCCCUCCACAGGUGAGCAAAGACUCAAGCUUUCGGGUCGAACUUGCAGGACCAGAACUCAGUACAUAACUAGCAGCUUCCAACAUCACCCCGCCCUGCAAUCCAAGGCACCUGAUUUUACCAGUGGACACUCAUGAUUGCAGAUGAGUCCUAGCCUCUCCCUCCUCCGUCAGAGCUCAUGAGGAAUGUCAACUUUCACAUAGUUCAAUGGGCCCGAUCACUGCUGAAGUUGCCCGAUUAACCUUUAACUUUUCCAGGGACCAAAGUAGGGAGGGUGUGACUAGGACAGUAGGCGGGGCUUGUGGGCUCAGUUCUGGUCUCGUUUCUCUCAACUGACCCCCAAGUGCUAGACUCCACGCCACCACCGCAUUCCCUGCAUGGAGGGGAUCUAAGCAAGCAGCCUGACUCCAGGCCUCCACAACUAUAACAUUUAUCAUCUGUCUCUGCUGCUGACUAAUAUGGGAAAUGGACACAGGUUCAGCCACUCAGCCUAAGUUACAUGGCCCGUUGUGAAUCGGGGCCAGAGCUCAGACCUGCCACGCUGACUGAGAACACCCUGCAUGGACCAGAUGGCGAAGGAAGCACCCAGAGGGCAAGCAUUUUGUCUGUGGGCUGCUGUGCCUCUAGUUCCUAGAUGGACGAAAGCGCUUAAGAACCCCAGAAAAACGUGUUAUUGGGUGAGCAAGAGUCUGGAGUAAAGAGGAAAACACCCAGCAGAUAGGAGGAAAUGGAGACACAGCGAAUAAAUUCAGAUGUUUUAUUCUGGAAAGCACAUGUGCACAGAGUUUCAAC